AUUGAACGCUGGCGGCAUGCCUUACACAUGCAAGUCGAACGGCAGCACGGGUGCUUGCACCUGGUGGCGAGUGGCGAACGGGUGAGUAAUACAUCUGAACAUGUCCUGUAGUGGGGGAUAGCCCGGCGAAAGCCGGGUUAAUACCGCAUACGAACUACUGAUGACAGCGGGUGACCUUGGGGCCUCGCGCCUUGCGGUUGGCCGAUGGCUGAUUAGCUAGUUGGUGGGGUAACGGCCUACCAAGGCGACGAUCAGUAGCUGGUCUGAGAGGACGACCAGCCACACUGGGACUGAGACACGGCCCAGACUCCUACGGGAGGCAGCAGUGGGGAAUUUUGGACAAUGGGCGAAAGCCUGAUCCAGCAAUGCCGCGUGUGUGAAGAAGGCCUUCGGGUUGUAAAGCACUUUUGUCAGGAAAGAAAUCCUUGGCCCUAAUACGGUCGGGGGAUGACGGUACCGGAAGAAUAAGCACCGGCUAACUACGUG
rnacentral:rRNA from 1 species